AACGAACGCUGGCGGCAUGCCUAACACAUGCAAGUCGAACGAAAAGACCGGGUCUUGUGGCGCCUGGGUUCGUAACCGGUGGGAACCUGCACUUAGGUUCGGCCUAACUCUCCGAAAGGGGUGCUAACACCGGAUAAUAUCUUCGGACCGAAGAUAUAUUGACUUUGGUUGGGCCCGCGUUGGAUUAGCUAGUUGGGAGGGUAAAAGCUGACCACGGCGACGAUUCGUAACUGGUCAGAGAGGAUGAUCAGCAACACUGGGACGGGGACACGGCCCAGACUCCUACGGGAGGGGGCAGAGGGGGAUAUAGGACAGUGGGCGGAAGGCUGAUCCAGCAAGGCCGCGUGAGUGAUGAAGGCCUUAGGGUUGUAAAGCGCUUUUAACCGGGAUGAUAAUGACGGUACCGGGAGAAUAAGCUCCGGCUAACUCCGUG
rnacentral:rRNA from 1 species